GUAGGGAAUAUUGGACAAUGGGGGGAACCCUGAUCCAGCCAUGCCGCGUGGAGGAAGACUGCCCUCUGGGUUGUAAACUCCUUUUAUAUGGGAAGAACCGUCCUCAUUAAUGAGUGACCUGACGGUACCAUAGGAAUAAGCACCGGCUAACUCCGUGCCAGCAGCCGCGGUAAUACGGAGGGUGCAAGCGCUAUCCGGAUUCACUGGGUUUAAAGGGUGCGUAGGCGGAUAAAUAAGUCAGUGGUGAAAUCAACGGGCUCAACCUGUUAACUGCCAUUGAUACUGUGUAUCUUGAAUAUGAGAGAGGUAGGCGGAAUGUUGCAUGUAGCGGUGAAAUGCUUAGAUAUGCUACGGAACACCGAUUGCGAAGGCAGCUUACUAUUUCGUAAUUGACGCUGAGGCACGAAAGCGUGGGUAGCGAACAGGAUUAGAUACCCCUGUAGUCC
rnacentral:rRNA from 1 species